rnacentral:misc_RNA from 1 species
AGAGUUAAACAGUACGUGAAAUUGUUGAAAGGGAAACGAUUGAAGCCAGUCGUACCGGCGGGUAAUCAGCCUUUUGGGUGUGAUUAUGUGGAGCGUGAGGAGUUAAUCACCUUCAUCUUUGCAUAUUCGUGCACUUUGGGUGUACUUGCUCGUGUGGUAGGUUAACAUCAAUUUUGAUCGUCAUAAAAUGGUUGGAGGAAUGUAGCUUCGAUCUCGUAUUGAAGUGUUAUAGCCUUCGGCAGAUGUGAUGAUUGGGAUUGAGGAUUGCAACGGAUACCUUUCGGGGCUACCUGUCUGAUCUCUGAAAGUUGCUCUGGUGCUGAAAGCUUGCUUAUGGUAUCAAAGUUGACGUUCAACAGGUUAGAACGGGAUAAAUUCGUUAAGGAUGUUGACGUAAUGGCUUUAAACGA